CGACUCUCGGCAACGGAUAUCUCGGCUCUCGCAUCGAUGAAGAACGUAGCGAAAUGCGAUACUUGGUGUGAAUUGCAGAAUCCCGUGAACCAUCGAGUCUUUGAACGCAAGUUGCGCCCGAGGCCACUCGGCCGAGGGCACGCCUGCCUGGGCGUCA
rnacentral:rRNA from 3 species